UUAAUAAAAAUACUUCUUAAGUAUGGGCAAACACAGGAUUUUCGGGCAAUCAUCUUUGUUGAGUGGGUAGUAUCUGCUUUAGUCCUUCCUAAGGUUGAACUUCUCAGGCCUGACUUUAUUGGGUCCUUAUGAUCAAAUUCCUCAAAAUAGAGUGCUAUUUUUUGCCAAGCUUGCAGGUUUUUGCAGAGCUUCCAUCGCUGAGUUUCAUUAGGUGUGCAAGCUUGAUCGGGCACAAUAACAGUCGGGAAAUGUGGACAUCCCGGAUGCAGGAUACAAUUGCUAAAUUUUGAGAUGGUUGUGUAUGUUCAAAAGCGAAGCAUUAUGAAUUUCAUUAAAAUUACAGUAUUUCAUAUUAGCUUCUUAAGACAAAGCUUGCCUCACUUUUGCAUUUGACACUUUGGUUGCUACUAGUGUUGCCAAGGAACGACUAGAUAUUAGACAAUGAAAUGUUAUCAUUCGCUUUGAUCUUGCAAAAACU
rnacentral:misc_RNA from 1 species